rnacentral:tRNA from 1 species
GAAAUCGUGCCUGAAUUAAAGGGCCACUUUGAUAGAGUGAAUCAUGGAGGUUAAAUUCCUCCCGACUUCU